GUGAAAUUCCGUCGGAAUCUGGGAGGACCAUCUCCUAAGGCUAAAUACUCUCUAGUGACCGAUAGUGAACCAGUACCGUGAGGGAAAGGUGAAAAGCACCCCGGAAGGGGAGUGAAAUAGAACCUGAAACCGUGUGCUUACAAGUAGUCAGAGCCCGUUAAUGGGUGAUGGCGUGCCUUUUGUAGAAUGAACCGGCGAGUUACGAUUUGAUGCAAGGUUAAGCAGUAAAUGUGGAGCCGUAGCGAAAGCGAGUCUGAAUAGGGCGUUUAGUAUUUGGUCGUAGACCCGAAACCAGGUGAUCUACCCUUGGUCAGGUUGAAGUUCAGGUAACACUGAAUGGAGGACCGAACCGACUUACGUUGAAAAGUGAGCGGAUGAACUGAGGGUAGCGGAGAAAUUCCAAUCGAACCUGGAUAUAGCUGGUUCUCUCCGAAAUAGCUUUAGGGCUAGCCUCAAGUGAUGAUUAUUGGAGGUAGAGCACUGUUUGGACGAGGGGCCCCUCUCGGGUUACCGAAUUCAGACAAACUCCGAAUGCCAAUUAAUUUAACUUGGGAGUCAGAACAUGGGUGAUAAGGUCCGUGUUCGAAAGGGAAACAGCCCAGACCACCAGCUAAGGUCCCAAAAUAUAUGUUAAGUGGAAAAGGAUGUGGCGUUGCCCAGACAACUAGGAUGUUGGCUUAGAAGCAGCCAUCAUUUAAAGAGUGCGUAAUAGCUCACUAGUCGAGUGACACUGCGCCGAAAAUGUACCGGGGCUAAACAUAUUACCGAAGCUGUGGAUUGUCCUUUGGACAAUGGUAGGAGAGCGUUCUAAGGGCGUUGAAGCAUGAUCGUAAGGACAUGUGGAGCGCUUAGAAGUGAGAAUGCCGGUGUGAGUAGCGAAAGACGGGUGAGAAUCCCGUCCACCGAUUGACUAAGGUUUCCAGAGGAAGGCUCGUCCGCUCUGGGUUAGUCGGGUCCUAAGCUGAGGCCGACAGGCGUAGGCGAUGGAUAACAGGUUGAUAUUCCUGUACCACCUAUAAUCGUUUUAAUCGAUGGGGGGACGCAGUAGGAUAGGCGAAGCGUGCGAUUGGAUUGCACGUCUAAGCAGUAAGGCUGAGUAUUAGGCAAAUCCGGUACUCGUUAAGGCUGAGCUGUGAUGGGGAGAAGACAUUGAGUCUUCGAGUCGUUGAUUUCACACUGCCGAGAAAAGCCUCUAGAUAGAAAAUAGGUGCCCGUACCGCAAACCGACACAGGUAGUCAAGAUGAGAAUUCUAAGGUGAGCGAGCGAACUCUCGUUAAGGAACUCGGCAAAAUGACCCCGUAACUCGGGAGAAGGGGUGCUCUUUAGGGUUAACGCCCAGAAGAGCCGCAGUGAAUAGGCCCAAGCGACUGUUUAUCAAAAACACAGGUCUCUGCUAAACCGUAAGGUGAUGUAUAGGGGCUGACGCCUGCCCGGUGCUGGAAGGUUAAGAGGAGUGGUUAGCUUCUGCGAAGCUACGAAUCGAAGCCCCAGUAAACGGCGGCCGUAACUAUAACGGUCCUAAGGUAGCGAAAUUCCUUGUCGGGUAAGUUCCGACCCGCACGAAAGGCGUAACGAUUUGGGCACUGUCUCAACGAGAGACUCGGUGAAAUCAUAGUACCUGUGAAGAUGCAGGUUACCCGCGACAGGACGGAAAGACCCCGUGGAGCUUUACUGUAGCCUGAUAUUGAAAUUCGGCACAGCUUGUACAGGAUAGGUAGGAGCCUUUGAAACGUGAGCGCUAGCUUACGUGGAGGCGCUGGUGGGAUACUACCCUAGCUGUGUUGGCUUUCUAACCCGCACCACUUAUCGUGGUGGGAGACAGUGUCAGGCGGGCAGUUUGACUGGGGCGGUCGCCUCCUAAAAGGUAACGGAGGCGCUCAAAGGUUCCCUCAGAAUGGUUGGAAAUCAUUCAUAGAGUGUAAAGGCAUAAGGGAGCUUGACUGCGAGACCUACAAGUCGAGCAGGGUCGAAAGACGGACUUAGUGAUCCGGUGGUUCCGCAUGGAAGGGCCAUCGCUCAACGGAUAAAAGCUACCCCGGGGAUAACAGGCUUAUCUCCCCCAAGAGUUCACAUCGACGGGGAGGUUUGGCACCUCGAUGUCGGCUCAUCGCAUCCUGGGGCUGUAGUCGGUCCCAAGGGUUGGGCUGUUCGCCCAUUAAAGCGGUACGCGAGCUGGGUUCAGAACGUCGUGAGACAGUUCGGUCCCUAUCCGUCGUGGGCGUAGGAAAUUUGAGAGGAGCUGUCCUUAGUACGAGAGGACCGGGAUGGACAUACCUCUGGUGUACCAGUUGUCGUGCCAACGGCAUAGCUGGGUAGCUAUGUGUGGACGGGAUAAGUGCUGAAAGCAUCUAAGCAUGAAGCCCCCCUCAAGAUGAGAUUUCCCAACUUCGGUUAUAAGAUCCCUCAAAGAUGAUGAGGUUAAUAGGUUCGAGGUGGAAGCAUGGUGACAUGUGGAGCUGACGAAUACUAAUCGAUCGAAGACUUAAUCAAAA
rnacentral:rRNA from 1 species